rnacentral:lncRNA from 1 species
AACACAAUGAUGUAACUUCACUCUGCAUGAUUAUGAACUCUUCGCAUUAGUAGGUGUUCGUAGAGUAGGCCUAUCCCUACAGCAGGGGGUGAACUUGUUCUAGUCACCAAUGCGAUGCAGCGCGGGAGCAUGAGUAAACACGCGGGGCGGUACUCGGGCCAGGGCAGGUGAAAUAAGCGGAUGAUGAAAGCUACUCGGUACAGUCCUGUUGUGACUUUGAACCUAAUUUAGCGUUCACCGAAGUAGUCUGCCAAAACCUUCAAGGCAAAGUCACAAAAUAGUUUACCACUUUGCGUGGUUCUGGUAUUGUAGAUGACAGCGCGAUAACGCAAAGAAGGAAUGUGACUCGGGCAGGAUCACCUUUUCCCACGGGAUAGCUUCUAUAAGCAUAUCUCUUUUUCGUACAUGGUGCCUUCGUACUCUGCGGAUAUCCCACUCCUCAAACUCAGGAUACUUUCCAUGUUUGAACGACCAAACCAGUAGGCUACAUAAUGAGUGACUUUCGGCGCACCGCUUUUAGAAAAAAGAAAUCGUUCGUGGGAUCAUCGGAGGAGCAACCUGACGAAUGCGAAGCGGUGGGCAGUGAUAGUGACAGUCAGGCUAGCAGGAGGAGGAAGAGCAGCACAGGCGGCAGUGACCAGAGUCAGGGGGUCAAUGGAAGAAGGUCCGGUCGCCGGCCCCCUCUACAGCCCAAACCACAAGUGCCUCCUAAGCCUGUUCAUCUGCAGAGUCCGGUGACGGCUCUCCCACACCCCCUGAGCCGGACCCCACAGAGGAGAUCUGAGAUGGAGGACCGAGGAGGAGGAGGUGGAGGAGUAGGAGGAGGAGGAGGAGUGGCAGGGAGAGGGCGAGCAGCAGGAAAUGGGACAGGAGUUGGAACAGGAGGUGCAGCUGGGAAGGGCAGAGUUCUGAACCUCAUUAGCCGCUUUGAGGAGGGCAGGUAAAAAACUAGUGUGUGCGUGUGUGUGUGUGUGUGUGUGUGUGUGUGUGUGUGUCUGUUUGUGAUAGGAAAACAGAUGGAAAGAUGGAAAAUAAUCUUACACACCCACUGUGUAAUUAAUUAUCUGCCAUUGUUAGAUGAUAAUAACAGCACUUGGAGGGCCUGUAGGCCUACAACACAAAGGACACAUUUACACAUUGUAAAAUAUGCUCAAAUCGUCUCCAGUUGACCUUCAGGUCCAGAUUCAUGGCUAGAUGGGGGACGAUGAGUCCCUGUGAGGGCAGCAGCUUUGUCAGCUUUUGAGAGGAGCUGUCCCUGUCGGCUAGCUGUGGUGUGAUGUGAGGUGACACGACGUGACAUUAGGGGCUGUGGUGUGUGAAGGGUGGAGCUGUAGAGAGGAGGUCAUUGAUGACAGGACUGAAUCACUGAUGGCAGUGUGUGAGAAAGAUAUGGGAUAUGGAAAGGGGGUCGUGUCUAAUACAGCAGCCAUAGACAGUUCUUCCACAAGAGAGUCGUAGUCCUUUAAACUCGCUUCUGCGCCUCAGAUUCUGCUCUUUAAAAAGUAGAGAUUUGACAUCACAUGUAUGAAUCGGGGCACAUGUGUUUGUAGGGCAGCCAGUCUGGGAGUCUCGCCAGUAUCCAGUCACUGAGUGUCAAAUGGAAUCUGUCAUUGUAUUGAUGAUUGGAGUUCACACAACAGUGCAGUUGUGACCGGCUUGUGCUUGGAUUUUUUUAUUUGUGUGUCUGUGUGUCUGUGUGUGUGUGUGUGUGUGUGUGUGUGUGAGUGUCUGUCUCUCUCUGUGUGUGUGUGUGUGUGUGUGUGUGUGUGUGUGUGUGUGUGUGUGUGUGAGUGUCUGUCUCUCUGUGUGUGUGUGUGUGUGUGUGUGUGUGUGUGUGUGUGUGUGUGAGAGUGUGUGUUUCUGUGUGUGUGUGUGUGUGUGUGUGUGUGUGUGAGUGUGUGUGGGGGGGGGGGGGGGAUAUGUGUAUGUGUGUGUGUAAUCCAU